GAGUUUGAUCCUGGCUCAGGAUGAACGCUGGCGGCGUGCCUAACACAUGCAAGUCGAACGGGUGUACAGAAGGGAAGAUUACGGUCGGAAGAUCUGUGCAUGAGUGGCGGACGGGUGAGUAACGCGUGGGCAACCUGGCCUGUACAGGGGGAUAACACUUAGAAAUAGGUGCUAAUACCGCAUAACGGGGGAAGCCGCAUGGCUUUUUCCUGAAAACUCCGGUGGUGCAGGAUGGGCCCGCGUCUGAUUAGCCAGUUGGCAGGGUAACGGCCUACCAAAGCGACGAUCAGUAGCCGGCCUGAGAGGGCGGACGGCCACACUGGGACUGAGACACGGCCCAGACUCCUACGGGAGGCAGCAGUGGGGGAUAUUGCACAAUGGGGGAAACCCUGAUGCAGCGACGCCGCGUGGGUGAAGAAGCGCCUCGGCGCGUAAAGCCCUGUCAGCAGGGAGAAAUGACGGUACCUGAAGAAGAAGCCCCGGCUAACUACGUGCCAGCCGCCGCCGUAAU
rnacentral:rRNA from 1 species